GGGGAUGACAGGCCUCGCUAGGUGGAACUUGUUAUUGCAGUUACGCAUGUCGGGCGGUAUUCCCGUUAUCCAUACCAAAUCUAUAAGUGCCAACUUAUACAACCGAGUCAAGGUAGCAUUCGCUAACGCGUUUACUCCUUCAUUCGCUCCUGCUCUCGCUUAAUUGCUUGAGCCAUCGCUCCUCAGACUCCUAAUAUGAGAUCGGCGGUGCAAACCUAUUGGGAUAGGCCGGGUGUUUGGCUAAUGCGCCCGCGCUGAAACUGGCAUUGGCUCUAGGUAACAGUUGUUUUGUAUCUUUUCCACCUGUUACCAAAAUACCAAAGAUACUACACAUGUAGAAUAGCCCAAUGACCCAUCUAUACCCCGGUUCAAAUCCGGGCAUCUCCACCG
rnacentral:tmRNA from 4 species